rnacentral:rRNA from 1 species
AUUGAACGCUGGCGGCAGGCCUAACACAUGCAAGUCGAGCGGCAGCGGGAAGUAGCUUGCUACUUUGCCGGCGAGCGGCGGACGGGUGAGUAAUGUCUGGGAAACUGCCUGAUGGAGGGGGAUAACUACUGGAAACGGUAGCUAAUACCGCAUAAUGUCGCAAGACCAAAGAGGGGGACCUUCGGGCCUCUUGCCAUCAGAUGUGCCCAGAUGGGAUUAGCUAGUAGGUGGGGUAACGGCUCACCUAGGCGACGAUCCCUAGCUGGUCUGGGAGGAUGACCAGCCACACUGGAACUGAGACACGGUCCAGACUCCUACGGGAGGCAGCAGUGGGGAAUAUUGCACAAUGGGCGCAAGCCUGAUGCAGCCAUGCCGCGUGUAUGAAGAAGGCCUUCGGGUUGUAAAGUACUUUCAGCGGGGAGGAAGGUGUUGAGGUUAAUAACCUCAGCAAUUGACGUUACCCGCAGAAGAAGCACCGGCUAACUCCGUGCCAGCAGCCGCCGUAA